ACGCUGGCGGCGUGCCUAAUACAUGCAAGUCGAGCGAACGGACGAGAAGCUUGCUUCUCUGAUGUUAGCGGCGGACGGGUGAGUAACACGUGGAUAACCUACCUAUAAGACUGGGAUAACUUCGGGAAACCGGAGCUAAUACCAGAUAAUAUUUUGAACCGCAUGGUUCAAAAGUGAAAGGCGGUCUUGCUGUCACUUAUAGAUGGAUCCGCGCUGCAUUAGCUAGUUGGUAAGGUAACGGCUUACCAAGGCAACGAUGCAUAGCCGACCUGAGAGGGUGAUCGGCCACACUGGAACUGAGACACGGUCCAGACUCCUACGGGAGGCAGCAGUAGGGAAUCUUCCGCAAUGGGCGAAAGCCUGACGGAGCAACGCCGCGUGAGUGAUGAAGGUCUUCGGAUCGUAAAACUCUGUUAUUAGGGAAGAACAUAUGUGUAAGUAACUGUGCACAUCUUGACGGUACCUAAUCAGAAAGCCACGGCUAACUACGUGCCAGCAGCCGCGGUAAUACGUAGGUGGCAAGCGUUAUCCGGAAUUAUUGGGCGUAAAGCGCGCGUAGGCGGUUUUUUAAGUCUGAUGUGAAAGCCCACGGCUCAACCGUGGAGGGUCAUUGGAAACUGGAAAACUUGAGUGCAGAAGAGGAAAGUGGAAUUCCAUGUGUAGCGGUGAAAUGCGCAGAGAUAUGGAGGAACACCAGUGGCGAAGGCGACUUUCUGGUCUGUAACUGACGCUGAUGUGCGAAAGCG
rnacentral:rRNA from 1 species